rnacentral:rRNA from 1 species
AAACUUAAAGGAAUUGACGGAAGGGCACCACCAGGAGUGGAGCCUGUGGCUUAAUUUGACUCAACACGGGAAAUCUCACCAGACCCGAACAUCUCUAACGAUUGACAGAUUGAAAGCUCUUUCUUAAUGAAGUGGAUGGUGGUGCAUGGCCGUUCUUAGUUGGUGGAGUGAUUUGUCUGGUUAAUUCCGAUAACGAACGAGACUCUGUCCUGCUAAAUAGUGUCUGCUUCUCUUUUGAGCAGACAAUUCUUCUUAGAGGGACUGGCGACUCUUAGUCGCACGAGAUUGAGCAAUAACAGGUCUGUGAUGCCCUUAG